rnacentral:rRNA from 1 species
GGAUUGCCCCGGGCGCCUCGUGUGCCCCGGAUCAGGCGCCCGCCUAGGAAACUUAACUCUUGUUUUAUUUUGGAAUCUUCUGAGUAGUUUUUACAAAUAAAUAAAAACUUUCAACAACGGAUCUCUUGGUUCUGGCAUCGAUGAAGAACGCAGCGAAAUGCGAUAAGUAAUGUGAAUUGCAGAAUUCAGUGAAUCAUCGAAUCUUUGAACGCACAUUGCGCCCGCCAGUAUUCUGGCGGGCAUGCCUGUCUGAGCGUCAUUUCAACCCUCAUGCCCCUAGGGCGUGGUGUUGGGGAUCGGCCAAAGCCCGCGAGGGACGGCCGGCCCCUAAAUCUAGUGGCGGACCCGUCGUGGCCUCCUCUGCGAAGUAGUGAUAUUCCGCAUCGGAGAGCGACGAGCCCCUGCCGUUAAACCCCCAACUUUCCAAGGUUGACCUCAGAUCAGGUAGGAAUACCCGCUGAACUUAAGCAUAUCAAUA